rnacentral:rRNA from 1 species
GAUGAACGCCGGCGGUGUGCCUAAUACAUGCAAGCCGUACGCACUGGCCCAACUGAUUGAUGGUGCUUGCACCUGAUUGACGAUGGAUCACCAGUGAGUGGCGGACGGGUGAGUAACACGUAGGUAACUUGCCCCGGAGCGGGGGAUAACAUUUGGAAACAGAUGCUAAUACCGCAUAACAACAAAAGCCACAUGGCUUUUGUUUGAAAGAUGGCUUUGGCUAUCACUCUGGGAUGGACCUGCGGUGCAUUAGCUAGUUGGUAAGGUAAUGGCCUACCAAGCCGACGAUCAGUAGCCGACCUGAGAGGGUGACCGGCCACAUUGGGACUGAGACACGGCCCAA